rnacentral:rRNA from 1 species
AGUGAACGCUGGCGGUAGGCCUAACACAUGCAAGUCGAACGGCAGCACAGAGGAGCUUGCUCCUUGGGUGGCGAGUGGCGGACGGGUGUGGAAUACAUCGGAAUCUACUCUGUCGUGGGGGAUAACGUAGGGAAACUUACGCUAAUACCGCAUACGACCUACGGGUGAAAGCAGGGGACCUUCGGGCCUUGCGCGAUUGCAUGAGCCGAUGUCGGAUUAGCUAGUUGGCGGGGUAAAGGCCCACCAAGGCGACGAUCAGUAGCUGGUCUGAGAGGAUGAUCAGCCACACUGGAACUGAGACACGGUCCAGACUCCUACGGGAGGAAGCAGUGGGGAAUAUUGGACAAUGGGCGCAAGCCUGAUCCAGCCAUACCGCGUGGGUGAAGAAGGCCUUCGGGUUGUAAAGCCCUUUUGUUGGGAAAGAAAUCCAGCUGGCUAAUACCCGGUUGGGAUGACGGUACCCAAAGAAUAAGCACCGGCUAACUUCGUGCCAGCAGCCGCCGUAA